rnacentral:lncRNA from 1 species
UCCUUCCUAACCUUGCAUAUCUUCUGUAAUGAAUGAUUGACCUUAAAUAUCUUGCGAGAAAGCCAUCUUGAAAUCCCAUGCUGUCUGGAUCUCCUUUUCAGUGUUGUGGGACAAACUGGCGCAAUUAUAAUAAGAGAAGAAAACAAUCUUUUACUUGAGCAUCAAAACUAAAAUUUUCUAGUUGUGCCAGGAAGAAAACCAACUCUGCAUAUAGACCCUCUUAAUAUGAGAUUAGCAUAUAUAACCAACCAAAACUUGAAACCUGGCAUACAAGUCAUUGUAGUUAGUCUCUAUUGGUUAUUGUAAUUUAUAUAAACACCUUUUAAAAACUUUC